GGUAGGAUAUAAGUACUUUUCUGGGUUAGUGAUUUUAACUGUUGAAUACCACUGAGUAUUCUACUUGUGGGAGAAAGGAGUAGAAUUUUGAAGGAAACGGAUUGAACAAAUUUCUUAAUUCCUAUCCAUUAUACCCUUUGGUUAACUGUCAUCGUAAGGGAAUAAGUAAUCUUUUUACAGUACCUAAUUGAAUGUUCUUAUUUGCUUAAUGAGAUUGAAGAGCUGGAAAUGUGGGUGUCUAGUAAUUUUUUGAGGAACACGUUGGUAUCAUAUGUUGCUUCAUGUGUUUAAUAUUUGGUUGUUGAUGAACGUUAAAAUCGCUUUUUUUGUUUGUUCAUAAUAAUAACAGUACGAAAUUCAACAAUGAUGAAAACUAAAAUAGCAAUAAUAAAUUGUUUCAGUUAUUCGUAUUAUCGUGAUAACAAUUUAGUGCUGUAAUGACCCUACAUCUUCCUUUUAAAGUUUUUCUUAUAGAGAAAAUGGAGAUUACUUUGGAAAAAUCCAUAAAGAUGUGCUUAAACAUUCAAAACAAUAAGCUCGCAGCACGAUUUCCUUUUUUUUUUUUGGGUGGAAUGAGGUAUAGGGCUGCAAGUUACUUGUUGCCACAAAAUGUGGAAAGUGUUAAUGAAUAGUUAGACAAAAGAUAAAUUAAUGCCUUGUCACUGUUGCAUCCUAUAUUAAAAAUCUUUUACUUCUCCAUUGCUAAACAAUCAUCCUUACCAUGAAAAGCACAAGCAGUGUUAACAUUUGUUUGCUUCAAUGAAAAAGGGAAAGUCAUUAGGAAGAAGGUAGGGAUAUGCUUACAGCUUUAGGCCUCCUCUUUGUUUUCUGUUCCAUAUCCCUUUAUAUCAAUAGCAAAGUGGCUUCUCUUUUAUAUGUUUUGUUGGGACCAGUUGGUUUGGGUUGGUGUGGAGGAACAUGUAGUAGGUUGGAACAACUAAAUUGGAGGUUCAUCAUUCUACCCUUGUGUUCUCUACUAAAUGAAUUGACGAGAUUCUCUAUUUGGUUUUCAGUGAGAAAGGGGGAUUAGUUACCUUGGAUCAAUAGGUGGGUAGACCGCUGACCAUAAAGCCAACUUUAAAUGGUUGGUUUGGUAAAUUUCAGUUACCGAAGAACGUAAAUUACAUGGUCUCACUGCGAGGAGUCUUGCAAUUAGUAUUGUAUUUUUGGCAGAAUCUUGUGAAUUGUCCAAAGGGUUUGACAACAUGAUUGAAUAAUGAACUCCUUUUGAUGGACUAUACCAAUCUCACCUCUAAAUUGGCAUGCCGAGGACAUCACUUUAGUCUGGAAAUUACUCAAGCAUCUGAUUCCUUAACGUUUCCAUUUCUCCGUGCUUAUUGAAAUGUUAAAGGAUGAGAGUAAUUUUGAUACCUAAGUGAUUGUACUUUACGGUUAAGCAAACUAGGAGAUGGCAGCAUUUACAAAGCCCUUUUUUUUGUUCGUAAAGCUUAUUAGAAAAUCUUUCACUGGGAUAUAGCAGUUUAAUGUUCCUACAGGUUCAGCAGCAGCUGAGUUUUCUGCUGGAGCCUUGCCAGGAUUUUUGCAGAAUCUCGGUUCAAUUAGCAGGUUUUACGAGCUUAACUUGCUUCUGAUUGUUCUCCAAUUUCAUUCGUGUGUGAAUGACCAAGAAUUUUUUCAGAGAGACGAGGCACACAACUCAUGGAUGUUUAUAACUUUGCAGUCCCUCUGAUGCGCUUUUUGAAGCAUUCAUAAAGACAGAUGUUGCAUUCAGGACACAACUUGAUUGGAGGUUGGUUUGGGUUGGUGUGGAGGAACAUGUAGUAGGUUGGAACAACUAAAUUGGAGGUUCAUCAUUCUACCCUUGUGUUCUCUACUAAAUGAAUUGACGAGAUUCUCUAUUUGGUUUUCAGUGAGAAAGGGGGAUUAGUUACCUUGGAUCAAUAGGUGGGUAGACCGCUGACCAUAAAGCCAACUUUAAAUGGUUGGUUUGGUAAAUUUCAGUUACCGAAGAACGUAAAUUACAUGGUCUCACUGCGAGGAGUCUUGCAAUUAGUAUUGUAUUUUUGGCAGAAUCUUGUGAAUUGUCCAAAGGGUUUGACAACAUGAUUGAAUAAUGAACUCCUUUUGAUGGACUAUACCAAUCUCACCUCUAAAUUGGCAUGCCGAGGACAUCACUUUAGUCUGGAAAUUACUCAAGCAUCUGAUUCCUUAACGUUUCCAUUUCUCCGUGCUUAUUGAAAUGUUAAAGGAUGAGAGUAAUUUUGAUACCUAAGUGAUUGUACUUUACGGUUAAGCAAACUAGGAGAUGGCAGCAUUUACAAAGCCCUUUUUUUUGUUCGUAAAGCUUAUUAGAAAAUCUUUCACUGGGAUAUAGCAGUUUAAUGUUCCUACAGGUUCAGCAGCAGCUGAGUUUUCUGCUGGAGCCUUGCCAGGAUUUUUGCAGAAUCUCGGUUCAAUUAGCAGGUUUUACGAGCUUAACUUGCUUCUGAUUGUUCUCCAAUUUCAUUCGUGUGUGAAUGACCAAGAAUUUUUUCAGAGAGACGAGGCACACAACUCAUGGAUGUUUAUAACUUUGCAGUCCCUCUGAUGCGCUUUUUGAAGCAUUCAUAAAGACAGAUGUUGCAUUCAGGACACAACUUGAUUGGAGGUUGGUUUGGGUUGGUGUGGAGGAACAUGUAGUAGGUUGGAACAACUAAAUUGGAGGUUCAUCAUUCUACCCUUGUGUUCUCUACUAAAUGAAUUGACGAGAUUCUCUAUUUGGUUUUCAGUGAGAAAGGGGGAUUAGUUACCUUGGAUCAAUAGGUGGGUAGACCGCUGACCAUAAAGCCAACUUUAAAUGGUUGGUUUGGUAAAUUUCAGUUACCGAAGAACGUAAAUUACAUGGUCUCACUGCGAGGAGUCUUGCAAUUAGUAUUGUAUUUUUGGCAGAAUCUUGUGAAUUGUCCAAAGGGUUUGACAACAUGAUUGAAUAAUGAACUCCUUUUGAUGGACUAUACCAAUCUCACCUCUAAAUUGGCAUGCCGAGGACAUCACUUUAGUCUGGAAAUUACUCAAGCAUCUGAUUCCUUAACGUUUCCAUUUCUCCGUGCUUAUUGAAAUGUUAAAGGAUGAGAGUAAUUUUGAUACCUAAGUGAUUGUACUUUACGGUUAAGCAAACUAGGAGAUGGCAGCAUUUACAAAGC
rnacentral:lncRNA from 1 species